AACGAACGCUGGCGGCGCGUCUUAAGCAUGCAAGUCGAGCGGCAAGUGCAGCAAUGCACCUAGAGCGGCGGACUGGUGAGUAACACGUGGGUGAUCUGCCUUUAGGUUGGGGAUAGCCUGUGGAAACACAGGGUAAUACCGAAUGCGGUUGUGGGAUUACGGUUCCAUAAAGAAAGGAGCUACGGCUCCGCCUGAAGAUGAGCCCGCGGCCCAUUAGCUAGUUGGGGGUGUAACGGACCACCAAGGCGAUGAUGGGUAGCCGGCCUGAGAGGGUGAACGGCCACACUGGGACUGAGAUACGGCCCAGACUCCUACGGGAGGCUG
rnacentral:rRNA from 1 species